rnacentral:rRNA from 1 species
CCUCAUAUAUCCUGAGAUGUGAUGCCGAGCCGAUUGUGGCGAAGUGGAUGAUCCUAUGCUGCCGAGAAAAGCCUCUAGCGAGUUUCCAGGCGGCCCGUACCCCAAACCGACUCAGGUGGUCAGGUAGAGAAUACCAAGGCGAUCGGGUGAACUGUGGUUAAGGAACUCGGCAAAUUGCCCCCGUAACUUCGGGAGAAGGGGGGCCUUCGCUGGUGAUGAGUCUUGCACUCGGAGCUGGUGGGGGUCGCAGAGGCCAGGGGGAAGCGACUGUUUACUAAAAACACAGGUCCAUGCGAAGUCGUAAGACGAUGUAUAUGGACUGACGCCUCCCCGGUGCUGGAACGUUAAGGGGACCGGUUAGAUCACGCAAGUGGUCGAAGCUGAGAACUUAAGCGCCAGUAAACGGCGGUGGUAACUAUAACCAUCCUAAGGUAGCGAAAUUCCUUGUCGGGUAAGUUCCGACCUGCACGAAUGGCGUAACGACUUCCCCGCUGUCUCAACCGCAGACCCGGCGAAAUUGCACUACGAGUAAAGAUGCUCGUUACGCGCGGCAGGACGGAAAGACCCCGGGACCUUCACUAGCUUGACAUUGGCGUUUGGAACGUCUUGUGUAGGAUAGGUGGGAGACUAUGAAGCGCUCACGCUAGUGGGUGUGGAGUCAUUGGUGAAAUACCACUCUGGUCGUUUUGAACGUCUAACUUCGGUCCCUUAUCGGGAUCAGGGACAGUGUCUGGUGGGUAGUUUAACUGGGGCGGUUGCCUCCUAAAGAGUAACGGAGGCGCCCAAAGGUUCCCUCAGCCUGGUUGGCAAUCAGGUGUCGAGUGUAAGUGCACAAGGGAGCUUGACUGUGAGACCGACGGGUCGAGCAGGGACGAAAGUCGGGACUAGUGAUCCGGCAUCUACGUGUGGAAGUGGUGUCGCUCAACGGCUAAAAGGUACCCCGGGGAUAACAGGCUGAUCUUCCCCAAGAGUCCAUAUCGACGGGAUGGUUUGGCACCUCGAUGUCGGCUCGUCGCAUCCUGGGGCUGGAGUAGGUCCCAAGGGUUGGGCUGUUCGCCCAUUAAAGCGGUACGCGAGCUGGGUUUAGAACGUCGCGAGACAGUUCGGUCCCUAUCCGCUGCGCGCGCAGGAGACUUGAGAAGGGGCUGUCCCUAGUACGAGAGGACCGGGACGGACGAACCUCUGGUGUGCCAGUUGUUCCGCCAGGAGCAUGGCUGGUUGGCUACGUUCGGAAGGGAUAACCGCUGAAAGCAUCUAAGCGGGAAGCUCGCCUUGAGAUGAGGUCUCCCACCCCGUGAGGGGGUAAGGCUCCCAGUAGACGACUGGGUUGAUAGGCCGGGUGUGGAAGCACUGUAAGGUGUGGAGCUGACCGGUACUAAUAGGCCGAGGACUUGAUC